UGGAAAGUGGAGACACCCAGGGUUGC
rnacentral:piRNA from 1 species